rnacentral:rRNA from 1 species
AUGAACGCUAGCGGCGUGGAUAAGGCAUGCAAGUCAAGGGGGUUUUGCAAGUUGCAAAACAACCGGCGAACGAGUUAGUAAUACGUAGAAACAUACCCCAGAGUCUCGCAUAGCUCCGCGAAAGCGGAGGUAAUUCGAGAUAGUUCUCGCAAGAGUAAAGAUUUAUCGCUUUGGGAUUGGUCUGCGUCCUAUCAGCUAGUUGGUGAGGUAAUGGCUUACCAAGGCUAUGACGGGUAGGGGGCAUGAGAGUGUGUUCCCCAACGAGGGCACUGAGAUACGGGCCCUACUCCUACGGGAGGCAGCAGUCGAGAAUCUUCCACAAUGGGCGAAAGCCUGAUGGAGCGACGCCGCGUGCUUGAAGAAGCCCUUCGGGGUGUAAAGAGCUUUUUUGGGGGAAUAAUGCCGCCUUCGGGCGGUAUGAAUGUACUCCAAGAAUAAGGGGAGGCUAAUCACGU